ACCCCGGUAUGCGCAUGUCUUCUCUUUCGUUUGUCACUUCUUGUUAUUUGCUUCACGUCUUCUGUUAGUUCUCUCUUCACUUAGUAGUUUCCAUCUUCAUCUUCGUGUCUCGACCUCUUUAUCUUUAGACCCUUCCUCACUUUGCAAUCCUUAAUUCCUUGCUUUCUUCUUUUCCAAAGCCCUAAUUUCGAAAACUCAAGAUUCAGGAACUCACCAACCUUGACGUUUUUGAGGAGCUCUCCGAUGGCGUUUUUGAAGAGCUUGCGAGUCGUGUACUAAUUGAUUGAUUGAUUUUCUAUAGGUUGGAAUGGUUGAAAACUCGCACCUCUCCUACAGCAGCGAGUUCUCGCGAGCGGUGGAGUAGAAGCAGGUGGCGCAGCAAGAGGAUGAGUUGUCCAAUUUAUUACAAUUUGUAGUUGUACAUUGCUUGGACUCGAUCUGAAGCUGAUCGAUCAAAUGUAUCGCGUGAUCUAACUUCGAUUGUGGUUUGAGUUGCAGGAGCAAUGAUGGUGGUGCCGCUGCUUAGUGUUUUCAUUCUUCUUGCUUUUAUUCCAAACGAAUUGUUAGUAGUUCCUUCAACCGUUCCUGCAUUCCUUUGGUCAUCACAUUAUGAACUUGCAAAGGAAAGAAUUUUGACAAGCCUCUGAUCUGGCACUUUUAUUCGUUGGUAGAGAGACUUCUUAGCUUUUAGAUUCUUAAGGUCUAUGUCUCAGAAGCUUCAAUUCAAAGUAUGGCAGACUGAUUGAUUGGGCCAGGGUGCUGCUACUAAUCUGAAGCAGAUAUUAUAGGUGAUACCUCUGCAUCUUCCUCCAGGUGACACAUCAACUGAAAGAACAUUGAAAAUUUAUGGGACACUUGAGCAAAUUGAGUCGUCAAAGGAGUUGGUUAAUCAAAUCAUCAGUGGCGAGGUUUUAAAGCACCACUUCUAAGGUUUUAAAGCACCUCUUCUAAGAUAUUUGAUGACACAUCUCUCCAAUGGAGCAACAUGUCAUAAAGGAUGUUCGGAAAUAGUGGGCUGCAUUUUUUUUAACCAUUUGUAAAUGAUUAGAUGUUUCGAUAUUACAUUUUGAUUUUAGAAACUAUUUUAUAUGUAACAAUGUUAAGUAACUAUGUUAUGUAAAUAUAUAUUUAGAAAUUUUGUUAGGUAAAUAUUGUAUUUUGAUGUGUUAAUAGAAACAAUAUUGAUUA